UCGGGCUAAGGAUUACGGAGUGAAUUUUGGAGGAAUUCAAACGUGGCUUUCCCUUAAGCACAUCUUUAAAGGCCACUAACAAGAAAGCCAAAGUCUUUCCUGUACCUGUUUUUGCCUGCACUACAGCAUUCUCUUCGUUAGGAAAAACUUCAUUCAAUACCCGCUGCUGAACUGGAGUCAUUUUCUCGAACCCUGCGCGAGACAAACUAUUUUUGAAAGUACUAGAAAGAGAAGCAACCUCUGAAAACAGCGUUGGUUGCUGUGAUUUCAUUGUCGAGUUCCAUCUUAUAAAUCCUUGAACUUUGGGUAAGUUAAAUCUCCCAACAGUUGAAAAAAUAGCUCCUUUCAGUGAGAUAUUCAUUCUCGACUUUCUGAACUAUACUGCUUGUAUUACCAAUUGACUCAAAAUUACGAAGAAAUAAAUAUACUUGUAACUCAAUAUAGUUCAAAAAAAAGUUCCAAAAAUAAUGGUUGUGGAAGUAGGGAUACAUGAGCCAAAGAAAAAAGUUAAGAGGAAUUUUACAAAAUUUUAAUCUUCAGUAAAUAUGGUAUUUCCUCAAUAUUAUGAAAAAAAAGGAAUGUUUAAAGCGUCAUUUCAUGUAGGAAAUCCAACUUUCAAUUUUUCUUCGAU